UACGAAGGGGGCUAGCGUUGUUCGGAUUUACUGGGCGUAAAGCGCACGUAGGCGGAUCUUUAAGUCAGAGGUGAAAUCCCAAGGCUCAACCUUGGAACUGCCUUUGAUACUGGGGAUCUUGAGUCCGGGAGAGGUGAGUUGGAACUGCGAGUGUAGAGGUGAAAUCGUAGAUAUUCGCAAGAACACCAGUGGCGAAGGCGGCUCACUGGCCCGGUACUGACGCUGAGGUGCGAAAGCGUGGGGAGCAAACAGG
rnacentral:rRNA from 1 species